rnacentral:lncRNA from 1 species
AUGGAGAUUCCUGGUGUUUCAGUUCAAAGGCCAUCUGGUGCUGGUGUAGGAAGAUGGACAAAGAGAUCUGAGAUGAGGAAAAACAUGGAUCAAAAAAAUAACCCAAGGAAAGGAGCAAAAGAGCGGGGAUGGAGCGGGUGGGGACAAGGCUGGGGCGGGAGAUUAAAGAUGCCUGCUCUGGAACCUCCUAAGCUGCCUGAUUUCCGUUCCCCAGCACCCUCAAACCCCCUCCUGCGCCCGUCUCCCACUCCCAGCUGUGUUUGGCCUGCCCUCAUCCCUUCUUUCCUCCCUGGCCAAGCCUGUAAUUAUUGACACCAGGUGCACCACUUCCACUCAUCUCCGGCGACUUUAUCACUCGCAGAGCAGCGAGUGGUAAUUUGCCAACCUCUAUGGAAGUCGCUUUUUGAAAGCAGGAUACGCUGAGUGUAAUGUUACAUCGCUAGGAAUCCUUAGACAAUAGAAAAGGAAAUGGAAUUUACCCAGGGAACAAAAGAGUCUGCAGCUCACUUCUCUCUAGCCUUAGAUAACCCUGUGGAAUCCACUGCAGGACUCUGGGGACCAGAGGCUGUGCACCGAUGGGGAAGCGGCUUGUGCAGCAGAGGCUCAUGGGGCCGGGGCCUGGUAGCCCCAAGUGGGGCAUUUGCUCUAAUGCCUCUGAGAUUAAGGCAAGGAAGCCAAAGGCUGAGUUCAUCCACUCAGCAGAUUGCCAGUGGGGACUACAGAGUGCUUAGUGAGCCUGGACUUGAAGGCUGACUUCCUGGGUUCAAACCCCGGCUUAACCAGCUAGGGCUGGUGCACCCUUGGGCAGGUCAGGGCACCCUCUCUAAGCCUUAGUUUUUCAUCUGAGCAGUAGGAUGACCAGCACACUCACGUCAUGGUGUUCUUUUGAGGAUUUAAGUGAGAUGCUGCCUGGGGAGCAGUGUCGUACGUGGCAAAGGGCACACACCAUUAGUGUCACCCAUGUGGUGGCUCUGGUUUGAUUGGCUUUGCCUGGCUGCAUGUGAGGUGGUUGUGCAGAGAAUAGCCCUGUUCCUUUGGGCAUAUCCCUCUAAGCCUGUCAUGUUCUGUGUCUGGAAGAGGGGAAUGAAGCACCUGAAGCUCGUUUUGUGUGCCCCUUGCUUCUAUGGGCCUCCAUGCAAGUCUCUUUCCUUAGGAAGGCCGACUGAAAGACUGCUCCGUCCUUUCACUGCUUUACUUGGCUCAGGAGACCUGCUGUUCCAGAUUGAGAGGUUGGGCAGUCCCCUCCAGUGAAUUUAAAAAGAUAAGAAGGGACUACUUAGUAAUGAACUUUUAUCUUGGAUGACAGAGGGAGGAACAAAUUACACAUCGUGACUCAAUACAAGGAACUCCGUGUGUUCAGUGUGUCUCGCUUGUUUAGGGGUUUCUCAGGGGCGGGACAGUGAGAGACAAAUCCCAAGAGCUCCCGACAGGGUCUCCGUUCUCUCUGAGACCAGUGCAUUUCCUAAGGAGCCGAGUCUGCAGGGUUUAACAAUCCUAUCUUAGAGAUCAGGAUUCCCUGCCUGCCCGGCGCCCUUCUGGGGCCCAUGUUGCCUUUUAGGAGUUUGUGGGCAUGCCAGCUCCUCAACAUGUUCCGUGUUCUGAGAUUUAGGGAGGAUUUAGCGAGUCAAAGAUUUAGGAAUAAAGUGGAGUGGUGAUGUGGGUCA